rnacentral:rRNA from 1 species
AUUGAACGCUGGCGGCAGGCCUAACACAUGCAAGUCGAGCGGAGCGGCGGACGGGUGAGUAAUGCCUAGGAUUCGGCAUGGUAGUGGGGGAUAAGGUCCGGAAACGGGCGCUACUACCGCCUAAUACCGGAUGAGCCUAGGUCGGAUUAGCUAGUUGGUGGGGUACAGGCAUACCAAGGCGACGAUCCGUAACUGGUCUGAGAGGAUGAUCAGUCACACUGGAACGUAGCGACGGUCCAGACUCCUACGGGAGGCAGCAGUGGGGAAUAGUGGGCAAUGGGAGAAAGCCUGAUACAGCCAUGCCGCGUGUGUGAAGAAGGUCUUCGGAUUGUAAAGCUCUUUAAGUUGGGAGGCGUUACCAACAGAAUAAGCACCGGCUAACUUCGUGCCAGCAGCCGCGGUAGUAC